GACGAACGCUGGCGGCGUGCUUAACACAUGCAAGUCGAACGCUGAAGCCUGCUUUCGGGUGGGUGGAUGAGUGGCGUACGGGUGAGUAACACGCGGGUAAUCUGUCCUGCACUCGGGGAUAACCUUGGGAAACUGGGGCUAAUACCGUAUGGUCACACGGAUCUCGCAUGGGGGUGUGUGGAAAGCGUUUACGGUGGUGCAGGGUGUGCCCGCGGCCUAUCAGCUGGUUGGUGGGGUAAGGGCCUUCCAAGGCGACGACGGGUAGCCGGCCUGAGACGGUGAUCGGCCACACUGGGACUGAGACACGGCCCAGACGCCUACGGGAGGCAGCAGUGGGGAAUUUUGCGCGAUGGGGGGGAGCCUGACGCCGCAACGCCGUGUGGGGGAGGACGGCCUUCGGGUUGUAAACCUCUUUCGGUUCUGACGAAGCUCUGCGUGUUCGUGGGGUGACGGUAGGGGCAGAAGAAGCACCGGCUAACUACGUGCCAGCCGCCGCAGUAA
rnacentral:rRNA from 1 species